rnacentral:pre_miRNA from 1 species
UGCGAAUCAUGGCACACACGAUCACGACACAUGUGUGUCGUGAUUGUGUGUGCCAUGAUUCGCA